rnacentral:rRNA from 1 species
UACGUAGGGUGCGAGCGUUGUCCGGAAUUAUUGGGCGUAAAGAGCUUGUAGGCGGUUUGUCGCGUCUGCCGUGAAAAUCCGGGGCUCAACCCCGGACUUGCAGUGGAUACGGGCAGACUAGAGGUAGGUAGGGGAGAAUGGAAUUCCCGGUGUAGCGGUGAAAUGCGCAGAUAUCGGGAGGAACACCGGUGGCGAAGGCGGUUCUCUGGGCCUUACCUGACGCUGAGGAGCGAAAGCGUGGGGAGCGAACAGG